rnacentral:rRNA from 1 species
AAUGAACGUUGGCGGCGUGGAUUAGGCAUGCAAGUCGAGCGGGUAUAGCAAUAUAUCAGCGGCGAAAGGGAGAGUAACGCGUAGCUACGUACCCCAGAGACCGGAAUAGCCAGCCGAAAGGCUGGGUAAUGCCGGAUGAUGUCCCUGGACUAAAGGGUGUGAUUCCGCUUUGGGAGCGGGCUGCGUUGUACUAGCUUGUUGGUGAGGUAAUGGCCUACCAAGGCGAUGAUGCAUACCGGGCGUGAGAGCGUGGCCCGGCUCACUGGGACUGAGACACUGCCCAGACUCCUACGGGUGGCAG